GACGAACGCUGGCGGCGUGCUUAACACAUGCAAGUCGAGCGGGAAACUUCGGUUUCCAGCGGCGGACGGGUGAGUAACACGUGGGCAACCUGCCUCACAAUGAGGGAUAGCCUUCCGAAAGGAAGAUUAAUACCUCAUAACACAAGAGAAACGCAUGUUUCUCUCGCCAAAGAAUUUCGUUGUGAGAUGGGCCCGCGGCGCAUUAGCUUGUUGGUGAGGUAACGGCUCACCAAGGCUUCGAUGCGUAGCCGACCUGAGAGGGUGAUCGGCCACAUUGGAAAUGAGACACGGUCCAGACUCCUACGGGAGGCAGCAGUGGGGAAUAUUGCACAAUGGAGGAAACUCUGAUGCAGCAACGCCGCGUGAGUGAUGAAGGUCUUCGGAUUGUAAAGCUCUGUCUUCUGGGACGAUAAUGACGGUACCAGAGGAGGAAGCCACGGCUAACUACGUGCCAGCCGCCGCCGUAA
rnacentral:rRNA from 1 species